GAUGAAGAACGUAGCGAAAUGCGAUAAGUAGUGUGAAUUGCAGAAUUCAGUGAAUCAUCGAAUCUUUGAACGCACAUUGCACCCCUUGGUAUCCCGAGGGGCAUGCCUGUUCGAGCGUCAUUUCACCACUCAAGCCUGGCUUGGUGUUGGGCGACGCCCCCUUUGGGGACGCGCCUCGAAACGCUCGGCGGCGUGGCACCGGCUUUAAGCGUAGCAGAAUCUUUCGCUUUGGAAGUCGGGGCCCCGUCUGCCGGAAGACCUACUCGCAAGGUUGACCUCGGAUCAGGCAGGGAUACCCGCUGAACUUAAGCAUAUCAAUAAGCGGAGGA
rnacentral:misc_RNA from 1 species